CUUCUUUGAUGUUUUAAUCAUUAUGGAAGCACAGCAACCUGAUAGAUCCCUAUUAACAUACAUUUAAAUACAAAAGGGGCAGUUUAUUUUUCAGCAGUUCAAGCACCUGCAAUUCACAUGAGCUUCAGCUGGAAUUCUGUGUGCUCAGCAAAUUAAAACCUUCAGUAAACAAUGCUAUAACAACAUUGACUUUAAGAUGAAAUCAUAAAUGCAUGGAAACAGGACAAAGCCUAUAGCUAUUUGUAGCUAUAUUCAAUCAGUUGUGCCUCUCAGCCCUGGAAUACAAGGUUGGAAAAGACUUCAGCUGCUGUGAAUUAGCUCAUCUCUGCAUUCUAUCACCUGAGAAUAUGAGAGCUGGUACUUUGCUUAUAUUAGAUAUCCAACCCAAAAUCACCAGAACUGGAGAACUUGAUGUAAUUAUUUGUUUGGGCCAGGAAAAAGGGGAUGUUGCAGAGUCUGAUUGAUCUUCACCAAAGCAAGGAAGAUGACGACCACACAUGCUGCUGGAUAAAUAAGGCACCAACAUGCCACUAGUUAUCUAACUGGCUUCAGAACUACAAAGAUGUGUUUAUUAUUUACAAGUUUUUCUAUUUGCACAAUGCUUGCCCAAGGCCUUUGUGGCCAGGUUUGAAUCCUCUUUUUCUUCCUCCCGCUGAGUAGUGGUUUAUUUUGUUACAACUCAUUUCCAUACCUCAUGUGAGACGGAUGUCAUUGCUUGCUUGUUUCCCUUUUAUUUGAGAUUUGGAUAGUGAUCACAAGGGUUCCACGUACAAAUCCUGCAGAGCAGAUCCUAUCACCCAGAAUGGGGACAACCUAGAAAAAGAUAAUCAUAAACCUUCUUGUCAUAAAUCAUUAAUUAAUAGGGCUGUCUCUGAAUAAGUGGUCAGCUUUGAAGGCUUCCCACAUAAUGGAACCAUUAUUUUGAAUAUUAGUAUGCAAUUGGGUUGUUAUCUGGAUUACUUAUUGCAUAGACAAAUUCACCAGGUUUGUAUUUAAACAGAUCUUUGAUAAUGGUCCAAAAUAAUAUCCUAGAAUAGUUAAUAAGGACAAAAUACAUAUUACAAUACUAGAAGAGCUACAAACAGUUCAGAGUUUACCUACUGUAGCUCUUGAGACUUAAUUUUCAAAUCUUUGUGAAAACGAUAUUAUUUGUCACUAAACUAGAUAAGAUUUUAUUACAAAAGGCUUAGAGUCUGAUUUUUAUAAUCAGUGGGCAUGUGCAUUAAUGUUCAAAACCUGCUAAGUAAUGUCUGUGAUUGACGGGAACCUAACUCUAACUCAGGCCCAGAUUUUGUAUUUAGAUCUGGAAGGAACUUGAUGAAUCCUCAUUGACUUGCAUGUGAUUUUAAAGGAAAUUCACAAUAUAUUGGUCAGCACCAGUAGGCCUGCUGCAGGAUGGAGGCCUCAGUAAAAGGUAGUUUCCUUCAGCAUGAUGUAUAAAUCUGUAGUUUCAGCCAUUGAUGAUAGAAAUUUAAAUGUCGUUAGUAUCAUGCAAGGUAAAUGAGAAUGUAUAAAUGAAGCACAAGAUGAAUGUAGGCUCUAUACAACUGUAUAUAUGUGCAUCUACUUCUAAUAUAUGGCUCUAAUAUUUUGCUAAUGUAUUUUGUACUCCUAGGUGAAACAUUUUACUUUAUUUUGUAGACAAGAAUUGAGUAUCUCUGGCCCUUUUCUUUUAGCCUUUGUUCAUUUUCUGUGCCCUGAACUCUCCUGUGUUAUUUGGUGCUGGGGACUGGGGAGAAAUGAGUAAGUGCUAAAAACAAACAAACAAACAAAAAACCACACCACCCAACAACAAUAACAAAUACAUAUAUAGAUGUAGGUGUUGUCAAGUCUACUUAUGAGUCUGUGUGGAAGAAUAAACCUGAGUAUGGAGAGCA
ensembl:lncRNA